UACUACAGCCAUGGCUUCCUAUACAUGCCACGUCUCAUCUGAUCUCGAAAGCUAAGCAGAGUCGGGCCUGGUUAGUACUUGGAUGGGAGACCACCUAGGAAGAUCAGGUGCUAUAAGUG
rnacentral:rRNA from 1 species